GACAGUGUGGUGCAGCAGUUUGAGUGUUGGACUAUGACUCUGAAGACCAGGGUUCAAAUCCCUGCUCAGCCA